UCAGUUCACAGUCACUCAACACACAGCCCUCUUUACACAGUUCAGCUGAGGAGACGCAAACAGAGUCGUCUCUAAUGAUUCUGGCAGCGGUGUCUGUCAAAAGGCAGCUCAUCAUUAUCAAAUGAUCAAACAUCAAGCAAUCCCAACUGUGAAAAUGCCAGUUUGCGGUCUUUAAUGGAUUUCCUGUUUGAGAAAGGCCAUCAAAUGUUUGCCAGAGGGGAAGAGAGGAAGUCGCUAUGAUGACACAAAAUGGCUUUCAAAAAGCAGAAUUUUUCAUCAAUCAAUUUCAGUGACCCCAUCAAUAACAGCCCACCCUGAAGUGGGUGUUCUCAGAUUUAGUUGGACUUGAACUGUGAGAUCUUAACCAGGACUGACCGAAUCAUCCGCUCCAUUAUCCUGGAGGCUGUUAAAGAAGUGAGAACGUUCAUCCUCGUCAUCCAUGUAGACGGGCGGCUCGUAUGAGGUGAGGAACGUCGAGGGCCUGUACAGGUGUUUAUUGAGGUGGU